rnacentral:rRNA from 1 species
GACGAACGCUGGCGGCGUGCUUAACACAUGCAAGUCGAACGGGCCCGCUCUCUUUUUUGGGGGUGGGUUGAGUGGCGAACGGGUGAGUAUCACGUGAGUAACCUGCCCCCUGCUCCUGGAUAACUGCUUGAAAGGGCGGCUAAUACGGGGUGUGCCGGCUGGUCCGCAUGGGCCUGGUCGGGAUAGUUUCAUCUUCGGGUGUUUCGGUGGGGGAUGGGCUCGCGGCCUAUCAGCUUGUUGGGGGGGUGAUGGCCCACCAAGGCGGUGACGGGUAGCCGGCCUGAGAGGGUGGGCGGCCACCCUGGGACUGAGACACGGCCCAGACUCCUGCGGGAGGCAGCAGUGGGGGGUAUUGCACAAUGGGCGGAAGCCUGAUGCAGCGACGUCGCGUGAGGGAUGGAGGCCUUCGGGUUGUGAACCUCUUCCUCCGGUGGUGAAGGCCCUGUCCGUUGCGGCGGGGUUGACGGUAGCCGGGUAUGAAGCGCCGGCUAACUACGUG